rnacentral:rRNA from 1 species
UACGAACGCUGGCGGCGUGCCUAAUACAUGCAAGUAGAACGCACAGUUUAUACCGUAGCUUGCUACACCAUAGACUGUGAGUUGCGAACGGGUGAGUAACGCGUAGGUAACCUGCCUGGUAGCGGGGGAUAACUAUUGGAAACGAUAGCUAAUACCGCAUAAUAUUAAUUAUUGCAUGAUAAUUGAUUGAAAGAUGCAACUGCAUCACUACCAGAUGGACCUGCGUUGUAUUAGCUAGUAGGUGAGGUAACGGCUCACCUAGGCGACGAUACAUAGCCGACCUGAGAGGGUGAUCGGCCACACUGGGACUGAGACACGGCCCAGACUCCUACGGGAGGCAGCAGUAGGGAAUCUUCGGCAAUGGACGAAAGUCUGACCGAGCAACGCCGCGUGAGUGAAGAAGGUUUUCGGAUCGUAAAGCUCUGUUGUAAGAGAAGAACGGGUGUGAGAGUGGAAAGUUCACACUGUGACGGUAUCUUACCAGAAAGGGACGGCUAACUAUGUG